rnacentral:rRNA from 1 species
AGGAUAAACGCUGGCGGCGUGCCUAACACAUGCAAGUCGAACGCGCUUGCUAUCCGCAAGGGGAGCGAGCGAGUGGCGGACGGGUGAGGAACACGUGGGUGACCUACCUUUCAGUGAGGGAUACCGGCGAGAAAUCGCCGACAAGACCGCAUAGCCUCGGUGCAAGUCGAGGAAAGCUCUCUCGAGAGAGGGAGCGCCACACGAGGAGCCUGCGCCCGAUUAGCUAGCUGGUGGAGUAAUGGUUCACCAGGGCGACGAUCGGUAGCUGGUCUGAGAGGACGAUCAGCCACACUGGGAUUGAGAACGGCCCAGACUCCUACGGGGGGCAGCAGUGAGGAAUUUUCGUCAAUGGGGGCAACCCUGAACGAGCAACGCCGCGUGCAGGAGAAGGUUUUCGGAUCGUAAACUGCUUUUCGUCGGGGAAGAGAACGGACGGUACCCGAGGAAUCAGCCCGGCUAACUACGUGCCAGCAGCCGCGGU